GUUCAGUACACAUUCAUUUCUUUGCUAGAGCCGAAGAAAGGCUUUGAUAGUUAUUUUGAUCACAAUAUAAUAUGUCUUCUUAAGGGAUAUAUGCAGGGGACUUGGGGAGAUAUUUUUAAUAUCAAGUCAACCACAUGGCAUGGAUCAAACACAGAUAUAUUAGAAACCUGGUCACAGACACACAAGCAACUUAUAAAGAUUCAUAUGU
rnacentral:misc_RNA from 1 species